rnacentral:rRNA from 1 species
UACGUAGGGUCCGAGCGUUGUCCGGAGUUACUGGGCGUAAAGGGCGCGCAGGCGGCGGUGCUGGCCCGGCGUGAAAGCCCCCGGCUCAACCGGGGAGGGUCGUCGGGGACCGCACCGCUUGAGGGCGGUAGGGGCUGGUGGAAUGCCUGGUGUAGUGGUGAAAUGCGUAGAGAUCAGGCGGAACACCCGUGGCGAAGGCGGCCAGCUGGGCCGACCCUGACGCUGAGGCGCGAAGGCGUGGAGAGCGAACGGG